rnacentral:tRNA from 1 species
GCGGGAAUAGCUCAGUUGGUAGAGCACGACCUUGCCAAGGUCGGGGUCGCGAGUUCGAGUGAGUUCUCAGGAGCUUACUGAA